AACGGGGGGGAGCUAGUGUUAUUCAUCUUAACUGGGCGUAAAGGGUGUGUAGGCUGUUUUAAAAAAAGCUAAAAUAGAGAAUUUAAGCGUAACUUAAAAAACUAUUUUUUUCAAAUAAAAAAACUUGAGGACAAAGGAGGUUUGUUGUAUUUUCAAUGGAGAAUUAAAAUUUAAAGAUAUUGAGAGGACGUCCAUAAGGCAUAAGCUACAAACCACGAUGUUUCUGACGCUGAGACACGAAAGCAUGGGGAUCAAAUGGG
rnacentral:rRNA from 1 species